ACAAAAACUACUAAAUUAACUUUCGGGCCUACAUACACAAUACUAUUAUACAAUCGUGCUAUAUAGUAGUGUAUAUCUAUCUAUAUAUCUAUAACUAAUCGACUUGUUAGGGGCAUCGACUUGUUUAAUGGCGACGCGCUUAUAACUAGGCUACAAAAAAAAAUAAGAAAGAAAGAAAGUUAAGAUCAAGGCAUACUCAAUUAUUUUCCAUUUCUCUUUGCUCGUCACGUGUGUGUGUCUCUUUUCGUCGUCGUCGUCGUUGUCGUCGUCGGGCGUUACAAAAAAAUAUUCAAACGCAAAAGAAAUAUUAGCAGUAUUAUCUUUGAAACGACUCUAAAAAGAAAUUAAUUUUUAUAUAUAAAAAAAACACCAAACAAAAUUUAAA